CGUUGUUUCCACUUCUUCAACUGAUCGUCGAUCAAUCGACACACUACUCCAAAUAUGUGCAAUAAAUCCUCCGAAAAUCUCAUUUAUGGCUUCCUUUCGCCUUUCUACCUCUAAGUUUCUUUAUAACACUCUUUUUUUCCCAGAUUUAUUACACACAAAAUUGUGUAUAUUCUCUAAAGCUAUGAAUUCUAACAGCAAAUCCCCUGUUUACGGCGAUCUUAUCUCGAAGAAACCAGGUAUCUCCUCCGCGAGCCGAUCAAUCGUACCAGCAAAACCGGUGUCUCUUCUGCCAAACGGCAAGGUGUUGUGUUCUCCGACGUGCCGAUCAAACAUAGCGGCGAACCGGUCAAUAUACUACCACGUCAAUUUAUUCCUUCCGCUGCUCUCUUCAUCUCCUUCCUGACAUAUUAAAUCUCUUGGUUUCCUUCCCUGCAAAUUCACAAUCCCUUCUAAUACAUUUAAUUGCAUUAGUUAAUUGAUCAACGUUAUGGCUUUUUGCUUUUUCUUACGAUUCAUUUGUUGUUGAUUUCCCUAUAAAUCGAGUGAUGGCCAAACCUGAUUCUCAGUUUUUUCUCACCCUUAGGUUUUUGGCUUAUAGAGCUUGAGAUUUUGUUUUCUUUUCGCCAGCUCUUUCGUAUGCUCAUAGUCAUCAAUGUUUAUUUGGAUCUCGCAAUAGGUUAUAGAAUAACUUCAGGAAAUCUGAUCUGACACUAUAUUUCAUAUUUUUAGGUUAUAAGGAGGACUUGCCCUUCAGAAGGUAGCAAUUUCAUGGAGAAGGUCAUGCAUCUUGAUGUUCAGAUUUGUAUGCAUGAGAUUGAGUUUGAGUUGGAGUCUAAGGGAAGAAAUAUUUUUCAGGAGAAGGAGAUAAUUUAGAGUAACUGAAAUAUAAGAAACUAAAGACUCAGCGUACUUCACGAGAAAAGCUAUAUGGCAAAUCUGUACUCUUAACUUAUCAACAUCAACGUUUCAACUAGUUUUGUAAAUUGUAUCUGAGAUCUUGCCAAGUCAGUCUUGAUGUUAACAAGCAAAGUCCAAGUGCUAUCACUAUUUGUAUCCAUUCCAGUCCUAGGAUGGUAUAUGACAGUAUAUAUUCAUAUAUUACAGUAUUGCUUCACAAUGCCAGUCUUGAGCUUAGGUUGUUGACUACUUUAAUGUUGGUACUGGACAUGUUUCUCUGUCUCCCAGAAUUCAAGCAUCGGCAUGGAGAAGUCAAAGCUGAUUUAGCAGCAGCAUGCCUGAUCCCAUUCUUCUGGGAUUUAACUGUGUUCUGUUUGGAAUGGUAUAACCUAUGAUGAAGGAGAAGACUUCAUUUUACAGAGAUCCUUUGACUGGCUCAGAGAAAGGGACCAACUUAGACAAGAGAUGAAGGCUCUUUCUUUGCUAAUGAUGCAGAGUGUGGAGUUUCUGUUCAUGAUGACAAGAGACUUUGAGUUAUUAAGCAUGUCUGGUGCUCUUGAGUAACUGAACUAUCAUGGAAAUACAUCCUUUCCAGAAGAUAAUUAUUCAGCAGGGAAGUUGAUCGAUCCCUCAUGACUUCCUUUCCAAAAUAUUUGCAAAGGCACUCUCUGAGGCCAUGUUACCAUGCGUCAAUGCAUGUCAGCAUGAUGGUGUCAGUGUUAGUUUGAAUUUAGAGAACCAUGAGCUUUUAUUUGCAGAUCAUCAUGAAUGACAAUCUCAGUGAGCUAAAGGAACCGGUUAUGGCACGUUCGGUCCAGUGCAUCAUGGGAAAUGGAAAGAAUCAUAUUGCGUUCAAGAGGAUCCACAGACCAAACUAAUUAGAAAAGAUAUCUUCCAAUCGAUGUACGUAGCAGAGAGAAUGUUAAAGAUGAUAGAUAUAUCAUUCAUCUUUUAUUUUCUGUUGUGCUAACUAAGCACACGUGGGAUGAUUAAUCUGCCUGGAAUCGUCCAAGAAUUUUUUUUUCGCUUUUACAAUGAAAUUUCCGAAGCAGAGAUAUUGGAUAUUAUCAUUGUAUUCAGAUUUGUAAACAUGUGUUACAUAUA